UUGAUUUGGUGGGUGGUGGUGCAUGGCCGUUCUUAGUUGGUGGACCGAUUUGUCUGGUUAAUUCCGAUAACGAACGAGACUCUAGCCUGUUAGCUAGCCAGUGGAUCAAUUAUUUCAAUGCGGCGAAGCCAGGGCGACUCUUUGUGGGUAUGUCUCUGGUGUGUAGUCGCGUCCACUGAGCCUUCUUAAAGGGACAGGCGGCUUUUAGCCGCACGAGACGGAGCAAUAACAGGUCUGUGAUGCCCUUAGAUGUCCUGGGCCGCACGCGCGCUACAUUGAAGGAAUCAGCGUGCACUCCCAGCCCGAGAGGGCCGGGUAACCCGCUGAAAUUCCCUCGUGAUAGGGAUCGGGGAUUGCAACUAUCCCCCGUGAACGAGGAAUUCCCAGUAAGCGCGAGUCAUGAGCUCGCGUUGAUUACGUCCCUGCCCUUUGUACACACCGCCCGUCGCUACUACCGAUUGAAUGAUUUAGUGAGGCCUUUGGACUGGCUCGCUGGUGCGUACCUUUAGGUGUCGCGCUGGUUACUGGGCCGGGAAGCUGGCCAAACUUGACCAUUUAGAGGAAGUAAAAGUCGUA
rnacentral:rRNA from 1 species